UGCCUUUUAAUUGUAGGCCUGCAUGAAUGGCUCGACGAGGGUUUAACUGUCUCUGAUUUGUGAGUCCUAAAUUGGAUUAAAGGUGAAGAUACCUUUAUAUAAAAGUUAGACAAGAAGACCCCGUGCAACUUUUAAAGUCGGUUUAUUAAGAAAUUUAAGAUUUUUAGGUGGGGCGCCUACUGAGUAAUAUUAACCUCUGUGUAUAAUAAAUACUUUCAAGUUUAGACCCGACAUUGUCGAUCAUAGGAGAAGUUACGCCGGGGAUAACAGGGCUAAUCCGCUAGUAGAGAACGUAUUGGCUAGUGGGAUUGGCACCUCGAUGUUGAAUCAGGGAUGAUACCUUU
rnacentral:rRNA from 1 species